rnacentral:misc_RNA from 1 species
CCACUUGUAUACUAUCAUCAAGGUACAGGCUUUCAAAAUUUUACCCUUAUACCCCUAUGGGCCCACCUAAGACUCGUGUACAGAGGGAGGGAAAAGCAGUUGCACUCAUAUCUUUUUCCACCUGUAUAUGUACACAUCCACAUAAAUCGGCAUAUCAUUGUUUGUUGUUGGUAUAAUGCUAAAAUGUCUCUCAUGGAACAUUGUCAACGAUUUAUUUAUUUUGUGCUUUUAGGUUGCUCGUAAUGAGG